UACGUAGGGCGCAAGCGUUAUCCGGAAUUAUUGGGCGUAAAGGGUGCGUAGGCGGCGCGGUAAGUCGGGUGUGAAAUCUCGGAGCUUAACUCCGAAACUGCAUUCGAUACUGCCGUGCUUGAGGACUGGAGAGGAGACUGGAAUUUACGGUGUAGCGGUGAAAUGCGUAGAUAUCGAGAGGAACAUCGGUGGCGAAGGCGGCCUUCUGGACAGCGACUGACGCUGAGACGCGAAAGCGUGGGGAGCAAACAGG
rnacentral:rRNA from 1 species